AGGUUCUUCGCAGGUUGACGUAUAGCCAAAACUAUUGAGUUUUGAUAUUGCGUGUACAUUUCCAUAACGUCGAGUAACGCAGUUACAUCACGUGGAGGACUCAUUGCAAUUUGCGGAAGACAGCGAGGACCAUGAACUCUCUUGGACCGACCAGUGUGUUACAGCUUCACUCUGACCUGUUGCAGCAAGCCAGAGCACCGUUUUCAACUGUUUCGGCGUCCAACCUGAAAUCCACUGACAGCCUAUUCCCUACCAUUGCUUCAGGUGGCAUUACAUGGAUUUGGCAUCACAAGAUAAUGCUCUUCACCCGGUACGCAGCAGAUGGUAAAGAUCCAGGGUGGCACCACGCCCGUUUCCACAGGGUCAUCCCGACUAUUAGACCACCAACGUCAGGUGAAUGCUGAUAGGAGAUCUCCACCAAGUGUUCAAGGAAUGCAGGAAUGAGCCAAGACACUGCAGUGUGCCAGCUCACUGGAAUUGGCACCAGAGGUGUUCAGAGAAUUACUAGAGAUGACGGAUAGCUUUGAAAGAACAGAACCACAUUAUAAAUCUUCAUUGAAAAAUCAUUGAAUAAAAUGUCACUUGCAGUAAAUGUAAUCUCAUCAUCAAUGUUAUUUUUGAAGUUACACCUGAGUAUGAAGAAUUCAAUGUAUUACACUAGGUAAUACAAAUGGUGAAAGUGCAGUACCUCGUACGAAUUGUGAAAACAUGACCCUAUUAUUACCACACAUUUUCAUAAAAUAUUAACCCAUCUAAAAAUAAUCCACAUUAUCACUCUGAGUCUGUACUUAUAAUACCCAAUUAUUGAGAAAAUAUAACACUCUAACCCACUUAUUAUGCACGGUCCGAUUAUCCAUUAGUCUGCCAUUAUUGUUUUAUUCUGCCCCAUUACCUUAUUACCUCAAGUUAGUUUUCACCAUGAUUUUUUGUUUAAUUGUCCUUUUGCACAUGACCUAGCACC